UACGAAGGGUGCAAGCGUUACUCGGAAUCACUGGGCGUAAAGGGUGCGUAGGUGGUUUGUUAAGUCUGCUGUGAAAUCCCCGGGCUCAACCUGGGAAUGGCAGUGGAUACUGGCAAGCUAGAGUGCGGUAGAGGGUAGUGGAAUUCCCGGUGUAGCAGUGAAAUGCGUAGAGAUCGGGAGGAACACCAGUGGCGAAGGCGGCUACCUGGACCAGCACUGACACUGAAGCACGAAAGCGUGGGGAGCAAACAGG
rnacentral:rRNA from 1 species